rnacentral:rRNA from 1 species
GGUGCCUUCGGGAACGUCUGACACAGGUGCUGCAUGGCUGUCGUCAGCUCGUGUCGUGAGAUGUUGGGUUAAGUCCCGCAACGAGCGCAACCCUUGCCUUUAGUUGCCAGCAGUUCGGCUGGGCACUCUAAAGGGACUGCCGGUGUUAAACCGGAGGAAGGUGGGGAUGACGUCAAGUCCUCAUGGCCUUUAUGACCAGGGCUACACACGUACUACAAUGGCCGAUACAAAGGGCAGCGACACUGCGAGGUGAAGCCAAUCCCGUAAAAUCGGUCUCAGUCCGGAUUGGAGUCUGCAACUCGACUCCAUGAAGUUGGAAUCGCUAGUAAUCGUGGAUCAGCAUGCCACGGUGAAUACGUUCCCGGGCCUU